AUCCAUUUGAACUUCUUAACGUGGGUGCUUCUGGUCAUUGGUUGGGGGCUGUGUGGCUGGUGCUGGAGACUGUGGAGGUGAUGAUCUGGGAGACGCCCAUGCUUUAUGUGCAAGCCAGGCUCAAAUAGACGUGGCUUCCUUCUACGGGUAUACAUUGUGCGUUUCGCAUCCGUGUGGGCGGGGUUCAAACAGCGAUAUUUCACAGAUCUUGAGGUCCUCUUGGAUCUGGCGGGAGGCCUUAUACGAUGUAUCGACGUGGGGAACACAUCAUUGGUCUUACACUCCCGAAGAGGCAUGGCCAAUUCUUCAGACUUGGUUGCCAGUUUAUGUGCUUUCAGGGAGCAUUUUCUAUCACAAAGGUCCAUCGCCGGCUCAGCGUAUCGUAGAU
rnacentral:lncRNA from 1 species